CAUUGUUCUCUGUCGCAGGUUUGUUUGUGUCCCUUUCCAUUUUCUGUCACUCUCGGAAAAGGGGAAACCAAACAAAAGAGUCUCUCUAUUUCUUUUCAGGGCUUGUAAAGUAGAAGAUAUUUGACAAAGGCGAGAGAAGGACUUGGGAUUUAAAAGCUGCACACAGCCCUCCUUUCUCUGGCAGAGUUUUCUUAAAUGCCCGGUCUAAAAGCGGCUCCGGCACCCCCUUCUCUGUGUGCGUGUGUGCGUGUGUGUGUGUGUGUGUGUGUGUGUGUGUUUUCUUUUCCUGUCCAGUUAUCUCUUUCAGCCCUAGAGAUGGGAAUGUUGGAGCCGGAAUGAAAAGAACAAUGCUGUAGUGAAACUCCCCUCUCUCCGUGUUUUUCUGCUGGUUGCAAAUGGCAAAUUUUCCCACCCCCUCCCACGUUAGUCUACUUGAAAUGGUGGUGGACAGGAUACCAAAUGAAUGGGGAUAGAUUUGGAAGCAUCUCUGUCUCUUUGAUUUUAAACUUAAUCUCCUCUGUUUUUUUCUGUAGUCAGUUCCUUUUAUCUUUCUCUUUUGGGAGUGGGGUGGGGGUCUGGAUGAGGGCCCCAAGAGAGAAUUAAGAUUUGUUUUAAUCCUGUCUGGUUAAUUUGAAUUCUAAUGCAAUCUGCAAACGUGAUUUUCUGCAUGGUCAUUUAUUUCCAAAGGCAGCCCCCAGUUCCCCAGUGUUGCCUUUUCUAUGCCCAGCAACCUUUCCUUCUGUCUGGAGGGGGGUUAGCUUUUGCGGCUCUCUGUCCCCCUCCCCUUUUUUAAAAGUCUAAUUAACAUUCUUUCAGGUUACACCUAUUUGGGUGGUUGGGGAGAGGGUUGUUUGUUUCCUGCCUAGUUGAAACGGAUGGAAGCCCGUCUCUGGGUUCUCAGUAUAACAGACUAGAGUCUGCGGAGUUUUAUGGCUUGGCUGGCCGUGUCGAGGGUUUUUUUUCCCCCCUCUGUGCUUGACUCUGCUUGUAAGCAAUGAGGAAUGACAGGAGAGCACAUAGGGAGGGUUUCUUGGCUGAUUGCAUUUAAGCCAGGAAUUCACUGUGAAAAUAAAGCCAAGGGGCGAUAAAUAAAAGAUGCAAUCUUCUCUAGGAGACAGACACACAGCGUGGGCUUUGCCUGCUUUCAUCAGUGGAAGAGGCCUGGCAUUGUAGAAGGUUAAAAGGACAAGCAGUACCCGGAAUUGGUUGAGGAGAUGGGAGAAGUGGAUGCUGCCUGCCCUGCUGCUUGCCACAGUGUCCUCUGUAGGAAUUUAUCCUUCGCACAAAAUCGAAGUCAGUGCAUGAAGAUGUUCUGAAUAGUGGUGCUCAUUGCAGCGUGGCUUACAGUCCUGAAAAGCUGGAAUCAGUGUAAUUCUCUAUUAGAAGGGAACUGAUUAAGAAGAGCCUAAUGUAAUACUAUGCAAUUGUGAAAAAAUAAAGACGUUUUAAAUUUGCUGAAAGGGAAAAGUGAUCAGAAUACAUCAUUUAAAAACAAGUCCCAAACUUCAUGUAGAAUGCUGUAAUUUGUGUGCAUGUGUGUGUGUGUUAAAGGAUUGACUUGUGUGCAGAUGCAUAGAAAUGUCUGGAGGACCACACACGACUCUAGUACCUGUUGGAAAAGGGCAGUGAAGAAAAUGGACAAGAUUUUGGGAGAAUUUUACUUUCACUUUAUGGGUAUCUUAUGGAUGGACUUUUCUAAGACUAGGAAGAUGCUUAUUUUUGUAAUAAACUUAAAAACUUAUUGAA